UCAUUCUCCAAACUCAAAAUCUCUCAAUCCCCAAAUUCUCUCUUUCUAUCUCUCUCACACUCCAUUGAAACACAACAUUCCUUUCUUGAUUAGGGUUCUUUUUUAUCGCUAUCGCUACUGCAAUCUUUCAUUAUCACUAACUCUGAAUUCAAUUUCAUAAUCGAUUCAUUCUACCCAAUUUGUUUUCUCUUUGCGACACUCUUUCCUUCUCCGUCAUUCAUCAUAACGCAACACGUUCGUGUAACUCGCUCACUCCACUCGCUCCGUAACUCGUUCUCGAUUUUUUCAUCAUGCCGAAGGCUAAACUUGAUAACAGGGCACCACAAUGGGCUAGUGUGAACUUAGGAAUUUUCAUUUGCAUGCAAUGUUCAGGGAUUCACCGGAGUCUUGGAGUGCAUAUAUCAAAGGACAUUAGGUAAUAUUGAUUUGAUUAGCUCUUUCUUUACUCAUGGAAGAUAUCCCUGUUGCCAAAUAGCGGCUAUAGCACUACAGUGUAGCAGAAUGUUAACAAACUACUAUUGCUCCACGAUACACGAUUCAGCACAAAGUGUUUUCAAGUAAUGGCUAUAGCUGAAUUAUAAGCCUAUAACACUAGCAUAGCGAAAUUUUAACGAACCGCUGUUUUUUGCAAUUGACUGUGCUAGAAGAUAUGAUAAUUGUUACAAAUGUUGUUUGGCUCUUGCAAGUGUAACUUAUAUGGUGUGGUUUAUGCAAAUAUGGAUAAUGUGAAGUCAAAUAAGCCCUGGGAAGCUAAACUGCCACCAAAUUUUGACAGAAAUGGAUGUGGAAUCCAGAAGUUUAUCCGUGCCAAAUAUGUGGAGAAACGAUUUACAAGGUGAACUACAAGCUACAAAGUCAGCUGAAAUAAAGUUGAACUUGAACUUCAAAAUUUCACCACCUACUGGGGCCAAGAAUGGUAUUCAACAAACUAGGAGAUUGUCUCUUGAGGAAAGCAUUCUUGUGAAUCACAUGGCACAAAUUCGGCCUCCAAUACCAAAAUUUAAUGAGGGUCCCUUAGAUUUAAAAAUGAAGAAUUCACCACCAAUAAAGAGGCCAUCAGCAUCACUUGAUUUUGAUAAACCCAUUGGAAAUAGCAACGGUACCGUCGAUCUUUUUAACUUGCUUUCCUUCGACGAUGAUAAAAAGAAUAUAUCAACUACACCUUCUAGCUGGACAACAUUUGAUUGAGAAGGUGUGCAAAUUGUUUAUAGAUUUGUUGAGCUAGCUUUUUGGAUAGAUGUCACAAGAUUAUGGUUAAAUCCGUUCGUGCAAUGUUGCACGAACAUCAAGCUGUGUUGGUCUGGCAGAACCUGAACUGCUUCGGGUCUGAUGCGGCUGGUGAUUUGCAGAAUGCUACAAUGGCUGAGCCUGCUGCUGCGCACUCAUAUUUGGCUUCUGUUAAUUUUAAAAUUCGACUCCUGGGUGAUUCAAAUGUAAUAUUGAUGCAUCCUUUGGGUCACAUUUAAAUAAAGCUGGGUUUGGAAUAUGUAUCCGUGACAAACGUGGUCAAUUUGUGAUUUCAAAGAGAGAAUGGAUUGCCCUUCUUUGUGGAGUGGAUGUGGGUGUACCUCUUGGUGAGUAUAUGUUCCCUAAUUAAUGGUAUGUCCCUCGAUGUCCCUAAAUUGGGUUUAUACCCUCGAUGUUCCUAUAUUGAAUUAAUGUACUGGAUGACCCUAAAUUGAACUUAUGUCCCUUGAUGUCCCUAAAUUGAACUUAUGUCCCUCGAUGUCCCUAAGUUGAACUUAUGUCCUUCGAUGCCCCUAAAUUGAACUUAUGUCCCUUGGUGUCCUUAUAAUUGAUUGUCUAAAUGCAAUUUCAAUGUGAAUGCUUCAUAACUUUACAUGUAAGUGGAGAAGACCCUUGGAGCCUUAGAUGCAAAAUUGAAUAUAUGUCCCUAUGUCUCUAAAUUGAAUAAUGUACCUCAA